rnacentral:lncRNA from 1 species
GCAGGGGAGAGGACAGCCAGAGCAGAGGACAGAGGACAGAGAAACAACCAGACCACCAGCUGCAGAGAGGAGCUAUCCUCUCCUCUCUGCGAGAGCUUCAGAGACCUGCAGAGAGGCCUUCUCUCUGCUAAGAGUAGCCGACCACAGGGGGACCAGUGGUCAGAGCGGAGUUACCCUCUCCAGGGCUUCCUCUCUGCUGUAGAGCUCAACACUGAACCACUGGACCCGACAACCUGCCUACAGAGAGGAGCUACCCACUGCGGGUCUCUUCUGAGUGUUCUAACAGAAAUAAAGCUCCUGUUGAUGUUCUUCACCCCUCACUUGCCUGCAUACCUCGUUCUUCCU